rnacentral:rRNA from 1 species
AGAGUUGAUCCUGGCUCAGGAUGAACGCUAGCGACAGGCUAACACAUGCAAGUCGAGGGGCAGCACGGAGUAGCAAUACUUGGUGGCGACCGGCGCACGGGUGAGUAACGCGUAUGCAACCUACCUAUCAGGAGGGGAAUAACCCGGCGAAAGUCGGACUAAUACCGCAUAAAACAGGGGCACCGCAUGGUGAUAUUUGUUAAAGAAAUUCGCUGAUAGAUGGGCAUGCGUUCCAUUAGGUAGUUGGUGAGGUAACGGCUCACCAAGCCGACGAUGGAUAGGGGAACUGAGAGGUUGGUCCCCCACACUGGUACUGAGACACGGACCAGACUCCUACGGGAGGCAGCAGUGAGGAAUAUUGGUCAAUGGGCGGGAGCCUGAACCAGCCAAGUCGCGUGAAGGAAGAAGGAUCUAUGGUUCGUAAACUUCUUUUGCAGGGGAAUAAAGUGCAGGACGUGUCCUGUUUUGUAUGUACCCUGAGAAUAAGGAUCGGCUAACUCCGUGCCAGCCGCCGC